ACAUAUGUGGCCUAUUUACAUGACAUAGCCUAAUUACAGGAAUAGCCUAUUUACACAAUUGACCUAACUACAAAAGUAUACAAAAUAUACAAACAAAUUGCAAGAAUAGCCUAAUUGUAGAAAUAGCCUAUUAGGCUCAGAUAUGACUCCUAUAAUGACCAAAAUGGACCACAAUUGAGUAUUAUCAUCAUAGCCAAGUUAUA
rnacentral:lncRNA from 1 species